CAGAUUGAACGCUGGCGGCAGGCUUAACACAUGCAAGUCGAAGGUGAAGCUAGAGCUUGCUCUAGUGGAAACUGGCGGACGGGUGAGUAACGCGUAGGGAUGUGCCUUUGAGUACGGAAUAACCGUUGGAAACGACGGCUAAUACCGUAUACGCCCCCAGGGGGAAAGCUCCGGCGCUCAAAGAGCAACCUGCGUCCGAUUAGCUUGUUGGUGAGGUAACGGCUCACCAAG
rnacentral:rRNA from 11 species